rnacentral:rRNA from 1 species
CCUACGGGGUGCAGCAGUGGGGAAUAUUGGGCAAUGGGCGCAAGCCUGACCCAGCAACGCCGCGUGAAGGAAGAAGGCUUUCGGGUUGUAAACUUCUUUUCUCAGGGACGAAGCAAGUGACGGUACCUGAGGAAUAAGCCACGGCUAACUACGUGCCAGGAGCCGCGGUAAGUCGUAGGUGGCAGGCGUUAUCUCGAUUUCAUGGGUGUAAAGGGCGUGUAGGCGGGACUGCAAGUCAGAUGUGAAAACCACGGGCUCAACCUGUGGCCUGCAUUUGAAACUGUAGUUCUUGAGUACUGGAGAGGCAGACGGAAUUCCUAGUGUAGCGGUGAAAUGCGUAGAUAUUAGGAGGAACACCAGUGGCGAAGGCGGUCUGCUGGACAGCAACUGACGCUGAGGCGCGAAAGCGUGGGGAGCAAACAGGAUUAGAUACCCUAGUAGUC